rnacentral:rRNA from 1 species
UACGUAGGGGGGCGAGCGUUGUCCGGAAUCAUUGGGCGUAAAGAGCGUGUAGGCGGACUGGAAGGUCUGGUGUGAAAGCCCGGGGCUCAACCCCGGAGGGUCACUGGAAACCAACAGUCUUGAAUCUGGAAGAGGAGAGUGGAAUUCCUGGUGUAGCGGUGGAAUGCGCAGAUAUCAGGAGGAAUACCAAUGGCGAAGGCAGCUCUCUGGUACAGAUUGACGCUGAGACGCGAAAGCGUGGGGAGCGAACAGG